rnacentral:lncRNA from 1 species
GCGGACGAGGGGCGCGGCGGGGAGGGGCGAACCCGAGAGGACAGGGCGACGGACGCGGGGGGGCACGGCAAGAGACGGGGCGGAGAAGGGAGGGGGAAGGCAGAGAGCGGGACAGCGAAAAGAGAAAGGGGCGAAGGGGAGCGGGAGAGAGGGCAAGGAGAGGCGAGCACGAGAAAAGCGGAGGAGCGCGGGGCGCCACGGAAAGAAACAGGAGGGCCGGAGGAGGAAAAGGGAGGAAAGAAAAGGAGAGGCCAAAGGGGAACGGGGGGAGGGGGAGAGAAGGGAGGAACUGAGGGGACGAGAGGGAAACGAGGGCAGCAGAGGACGGCGAAGGCGGAGAGGGGAAGGAGGAGGGGGGGCGCAGGCCGGGGGGAGCGGAAGGAAAAAGGGCGGGAAGAAGGAGGGGGGAGGGAAGAAGGAAGGGGGAAAGAAGGCAAGCGAGAAGCAGGAGGCCAAGGGCGGAAAGACGGAGGACAGAAACGGGGAGAAGAGGCAACGGCGAAGCAGCCGGAGAAGGGAAGGCCAAGGCGAGAGAACACACAGCAAAGGAAAGACCGGGAGGAAAAGGAGGGAACAAGGAAGGGGACAGGGCAAAAAGAAAGGAGAGGCCGGGGGCCGCGGGGAGAGCAAGCAGAAGGCAGACAGGGGCAGGGAGGACGGGAGAGAAGGGAGAGGGCAAAGCGACGGGAGAGGGACCGAGACACGGGGCGCGCGCGGGCCGCCGCCGCCGGGGGGGGGGGAGAGAGACCCGGGUCGAGGGCAGCGCACGGAGCGGGGACAGAGAACGGAGCGAAAGGAAGCCCGGCACACCGGGAGGCAGGAGGGGGCGAGUACACUGGCGACACAGGCAGAGCAGGGAGGGGGCCAGGGCCAGGAAGGGGGCAAGAAGGGGACGCACGGAGGAGAAGGGGGAGGGGGGGAGAGAGAAGGGAAGGAAACGGAGAAGGAGGCGGAGAUCGGGGCAGGAGAAAAGGGAGGGACGAAGGAGGGAAGACAGGGGCAGAGGAGGAGAGCGGGACAGGAGGAAAGGAGAGAAGGAAUAGCGCACACAAAGACGGAGCAAGACAGGGGACGAAGAACCAAAGGAAGGCGAACAAAGAAGACGGAAAAGAGAGACGGAGAAGGAAGAGGAGCCAAGAGGGACAGAAGGACACGAAGGGCCGAAAGGAGAGAACGGGAAAACAAAGGGACGAUAAGGGGAAGAAGGGAUUGGCAGGGGCAGAAGAAGGAAAGAUCGGGGUGAGGGCAGGGGCGAAAAGAGAAGACGAGGUGAGAGGGAGAGAAGAGCCGGGAAAUGAGCGAAAGAGAAAAGGAGAAACGGGCGCGGGGCGCGGGAAAGCGAGAGGACGGAAAAAGAACGGUUGACGCAAAGGAGAGGGCAGGGGAAACCCAGAGGAGAGGAGCCAGGAAGCCGGGGGCGAAACGACACGCCGCGCACGGGAGGCGAGGGCGGAAACGGGGCGGGGGCGGGGGGGGACGGAGGGAGACGGCACGAAGGGGCGGCAGUGCGAGUGCGCACACACGGGACGCAAGCCCGGAGCAGGGGAGG